UACGUAGGGUGCGAGCGUUGUCCGGAAUUAUUGGGCGUAAAGAGCUCGUAGGCGGCUUGUCGCGUCGGCUGUGAAAACCCGCGGCUCAACUGUGGGCGGGCAGCUGAUACGGGCAGGCUGGAGUUCGGUAGGGGAGACUGGAAUUCCUGGUGUAGCGGUGAAAUGCGCAGAUAUCAGGAGGAACACCGGUGGCGAAGGCGGAUCUCUGGGCCUUGCCUGACGCUGAGGCGCGAAAGCUAGGGGAGCGAACAGG
rnacentral:rRNA from 1 species